rnacentral:lncRNA from 1 species
AGUUCAGGAGGCGGACCCCCCGAGGGCAGCGCUGCGGGGCCGUUUUCCGGCCCUCCUGACGCGACACUGCCCCUCUCCGAGAGCUGAGAAGGAAAAGAGGAGCUUGCGGAGGUGCGGCUGCAGGCCGUUGUUGGUCGAGCUGGCGGGUCCCGCGGGCCAGGCCGUGGAGGUGUUACCUCAUUUUGAAAGUCUUGGGAAACAGGAAAAAAUUCCUAACAAAAUGUCAGCUUUUCGAAAUCAUUGUCCACAUUUGGAUUCAGUUGGUGAAAUAACAAAAGAAGAUUUGAUACAAAAAUCCCUUGGUACUUGUCAGGAUUGUAAAGUCCAAGGACCAAAUCUUUGGGCAUGUCUGGAGAUGUUCAUAUGUUGGCUGUGGUGAAUCACAAGUAGAUCACAGCACCAUACAUUCUCAGGAGACAAAGCAUUAUCUAACUGUGAACCUUACCACUCUUCGAGUAUGGUGUUAUGCUUGCAGCAAAGAAGUAUUUUUGGAUAGGAAA